UAAAUUCAGGUUUUGAAAAAUGAUAAAAAAAAGCAGCAACACUUGUGUUAUUCAUUUGAUUCCAGUAGAAGUUUUAAGAAUAUGUUGAAUCAAAUUCAAAUAAAAACUAAUUGGAAAAUAAAAAUGAUUAGAGCAAAUCAUAAAAUUCUUUGUGCUAUUUGAGGGGAAAACAAAUGUUUUGUUGUUAAUUAAUCUGAUACAAAAUAAAAAAGUUUUAAUUUUGUUUUAAAUUUUGAAGCUAUUGAUUACAGUAGUUUCUUAGACAUUUUACCAGAAUACUUAUUAUCAUAUUUCAUAAAAAUACUUGUAACUGUUUGAACAAUAAUGUUUAAUAUAAAAAAAUAGGUUAAAUUUUGUUGGGCAAAAAAAUUUGUGGGCAUCAUACCUGUCACAGUUGUUUUUUAAUAAUAUCUGUAAUUUGGUUAAUAGAAAAUUGUUUUUGAUUUGUUGAACAAACGUAAACAGAUAUCCAUGGGGAAAUCAGAAGUUCCACAGCAACUCUAUUAUCUGUAAGAUUACAAUGCUUUAUAAAAAAAUUAAUAUAUUCUCAAUUGUUGGGUUUUCUAAAGCUACUUUGAAUUUCUUAUUUCAUCCAAUAUUAUUUUAUCAUACAUAAUUAAUAGUGCAACUGUGUUCUUGAAUAAUGUUAAAGAAAUAAUGAACUGAUUAGUGGAAAAUAUUAAUCACCAGAAAUGAUAUUGCUUAUUUCAGUUACACAUCUUUAAAGCAGUUGACAAGUGAAAGAAAUAAGUUAAAAUUUACUUCGUACUUGGGAAACAAGGUAAAAUGUUUGCAGUUGUGAGUAAUAAUGUGAAGAAAAAAAGAGAGUUGAUUCCGUAAAGACUGAAAAUUUUGAACUAUUAUCAUUGGAUAAAUACUUUGAACACUGCACAAUAUUACAUCUGAAUAUAUUGUAAAAGCAGCAGACUAUCCGUUUUUCUACUUCCCAUUUUACGUUUACUGUACACCAUCAUAAAUAUUUUAAGAACUAAGCUGUUGUUUAUAUCUAGCAAUUAAAUAGAGAUUAAGACAAAACAGUUGACAAUUUUGCAAUGCCCAUUAAUAACACGAAUUGAAAGAGGGAGAUAAUAUUAAAGGUUCAUCAUCUUCAUGAUUACGUUGAUAGUGUUAGUUAUAUAGGAGUGCCUAUAACUACAGCUUUUUUGAAUAACAUUACUUUUAUCACAAAAUAUUUAUUGUAUGAAAUAUGUAUGCAAGAGAUUAUAUUAGAAAAAAAAACUAUAAUUAUUUGAAAUGUUUGAACAGUCCAGAUAAAAACUACAUAACAGUUGCCCCUCAAAAGUGUACUCUGACUAUUUGUAAUAAAAUAUGGUUUUAAAAGUACAUGUAAGAUAUAUUGUUAAAAUGUAUAUUUUACAUGAUUGAGAAAAAUAGCUCACAAAAGAUGUGCUGUUGAUUUCUGUAGGUAAAAAUAGUCCCUUGAUGGGACAGCGGUAAGUUUAUGGACAUAAACGCUAAAAUUUGGGUUCGAUUCCCUGCAGCGGACAAAGAAGGUAGCCCAUUGUGGCUUUGCUUUAAAAGAAACAAACAAAAGUAGGUAAAAAAUAUGCUGAUAAUUCUUGUUCAAAAACAUAAUUCCAGUUAUGUUUUUACUCAUAACUCGUGAUUUUAAAUUUAACUAAAGAUUAGAUUGCGAUAUGUUUUGGUUAUUGAAUUUAUUCUAAUACGUAAUAGGACACGCCGUAUGAUUAGAAAAAGAGAGUACAAGUUAUUCAUGUCACAGAAUACUCUCAAAUUAUGAAAAUACUCAGAAUUCUAUAAUAUACAUAAAGGUUAGCAGUUGAUGAAUGUUUGUUUUUGACAGAAUAUAUGUUUUAGAAACUAGGAGACAAGAAUUAAAUAUUUUUAUUGCCCCCCUUUAUUCCCAGUAACUUCUUAAGAUAUUUGGUUUUUUCUUCUGUUACAGAUACAUAAACUCUUGCCCCCCAGUGGCACAGCGAUAUGUAUGCGGACUUACAACGCUAGAAACCGGGUUUUGAUACCCGUGGUGGGCAGAGCACAGAUAGCCCAUUGUGUAGCUUUGUGCAUAACGACAAACAAACAAGCAUAAACCCUUAUUAAGGCCUUCGUGAAAACAUGUUUGUCCCCCAAAACGAAUCGUAUUCAUUUUGUUUGAAAUUAAAAACUAGUUGCAAGACACUAAAAUUCCACCAUCUUGAAUUUUACUAACGUUUUGGGGAGUUCUAAAAUAUUCAUUUUGAUCUCUUAAGUUAAAAUAAUCCGUAGAGUUUUAAAAGUUUCUGGAAUGAUGUUACAGAACACAUCUCAAGACCUCCUCAGAAGUGAACGAAUGUGCAACAGCAGUAUAGUCACACCACUGUCCAACAUAGAAAUGAAAAAUAACUUUAAAUUUAUUUCGUUUCUUAUGAUUGUGUUAGGUGAGUGCUUGAAGCUCAUACUUUGGAUACUUUUAGACCCCCCAAAAAACGUCAUUAUUGAAAAUCUUUGUGCUGUGGUUGCAGUGCCUAUAGUAUUUCAAAUUGCUGUCUACUUUUGUAUACUAGCUUACAUCAAGUAUUAUAUAAUGAUACAAAGAGGGUUUAAGAUUUUUAUAUAUUUUUUUCUACAUAUCAUAAACGUUUCAUAAGCUAGUAUAUACUUUACGUCUUAGAAAAAUUUAAUGCCCCAUUCAGGAGUCAGUGGUAAGCUAGAGAGCUUUGAGGUUUGAUUCAUACCCAACCCAGAUGGCUUUGCGCUUUAAAGAGAAAUACUUAAACUGGAAUAUUGCAUUCAAACAGUAUAAAGUUUCAAACCGAAAGUAAGGUGAUGUUAACAUUAGAGACCUAAAAAGAGUUAAGUCAUAUGAGUGAAAAAUACAGUAAAAAAAUACAAGGUAUAGCAGAAAGUGUCGCACAAAGAAUAUUAUUUUUUAGAAGAAAAGUGAACUGCAUAGUAAUAAUUUGACUUGCCACUUUUUUUUUAUAUAUAGUAUUCAUAUAAUAAUAUGAAAAAGAUGUUUUGAUAAUAUAUUUUCAUCCAAAAAUUGUCCGUGAAAUUCUCAGCAAACCAAGUGAUUUAUUUAUUUCUGAGUCAUAACAUUUAAGCAUACUGCAGGGACCAGAUGAAUGGAAGAAUGGUGGGAGUAUAACAGAAAAAUAAAAAAGGUUCGGUAAUUCCACAGAUUUUUGCUAAUCUAUAUAUGUCAUAUACAUAUAAGAAAUAAUCAUUAAAUUAAUUUCUAAGGUUUGCUGAAUUGAUGAGCUCAAGAAGGAGGUAAGUGAAAUCGUUUAAUAUGUCAGUUUAAAUUACAAUAAUUUCGUUUUAUAUUGUAUGAGAAAACUGGUUGUAAACGGAAGAACUUUUAGAAAAAACUAAACACAUAAAGGACAGCAUUGGCGUAUUAAAUCCGUUAGUAAAUAUAAUACUGAAUGAUUAUAAAGUUUUACAGUUGAACUAAUAUCCAAAACCAACCAUACUGAACUUGCUCUUCUUGAGAACUGAGAAGAUUACACAAAGUUUACUGUUACCAAAGAAAUAAAUAAAUAACUCGAUAGUAAUGAGUUAAAGCAGCUUGUUAGACAUUUUACAUUGCAAGGUUUCACUACACCGCGGAUAAUACGUUAGGACUGAAAAAUUGGCGGGAACGACAAUUGUGGAAAGUCUUCCCCCUCCCAUCCUCUUCCCCAGAAAAAUAAGGUGAAGAGAUUUUGAAGGUAAAAUACCAGUUGUACGCCUUUAGUGUGUGUGCUUUAAAGUUAAGCAACGUAUUAUUGCAGUGUUAACUUCAGGAGAACGUAUGACCCCCACCCUUAUUAAAUCACAAAUACUAUACUAGAAAUUGGUAAUCAUUCUUAAAAAAUGGCGAAAAGGAGAGAAAAUAUUUUAUAGGUAAAGUGAACAGACUCAUUUUAUUAGGUUCUCCAGAAGCUUGUGUUUAUAAAGAUGGUUUUGGAUAAUAUUGUCGAUUUAAAAUUACUGUCGUAGUUUCACUUAGUGCGUGUGCAAAGGUUACUGAUUGUAGUCGAGAAAGUAAUAGUCUUGCACAAUGUAAAUCUGUAAUUGUCUGUUGUAGAAACUACUUAAUUAAUUAACUAGCUGUGUUAUUUUCAACAUCGUUAUCUUACUAAAAGUCAGAAAUUGGAAGUUCCCAUAGAUGAUGCAUUAAACUUUGUGUAAUAUUGGAUAUGAAUGGCUCAUUAAUUACUUUAAAAUAUGUUAUUUGUGAUUAAUAAGCUCUAAACAUUUCAGACGUAGAAUACUUAAAAAUUUGAAGUUAAAAUAAAAUUAUAUAUGUCUGAAUAAUUGAGCAAUAAACGCAAAUAAUGUUUAAUGAAUGGUUCUUUUACAAAUAAUUUCAACUAAUAAAUAAAAUUUUGAUCUUCUGUCUAAUAUUAAUAUAUAAAGUGCCCGAGUUUGGUUAGUUAAACCAAUUAUUUCGAAUGCUUUUAAGACGAAAAAUAAAACGGAGUAUUGAAAUAGAAGUGGUAAUAAUUUACAUCUUCAUGACAAUAUAUUAAAAAUAUUUAUCGAUUCGUUCGUUCAAUUGACUCAAAAUCUAAGAUUUUUUCAGCUACUUAAUUACAGUACAACCAUUUGCGUGACAGCCUGUAACUUUGUUUUUAGUCACCUGUAAUAAUAUUUCACACUGAAGUGUAAAACCCGGAUAUUCCUUCCUGUUGGAAAUCACGAGGCAAGGACACGAUUUCUAACUGAGUUCUUGUGAAUUUUUAUCAAUACUUCAUUUUUUAAAUCUCUUGUAAAGGUAUUUAGAAAUACAGUUCAGAACUUUUGUUAUGGGAGUUAGGCAAUUGCCACAAACGCGCUAUAGUUGGAACGAAACAACAACGAACCAAAAUUUUACUUUUUGUAAUACAUUGGUUUUGGUCUUUGAAUACAUAUUUCACAGGCAAAACGUGUUAUGCUCGUUUUGUUACAGAAUCCGAAAAACUUUAUUUCUGUUUUUAGACGUUUUGAAAGAACCUUGGGGGGGGGGGCGAUUUGGGUAUUUAAGUCUUGCACAAAUUCUAUUGUGUCAAUUAUGUAAUUUUCAGUGUUACAACUUUAAUAAUCGACUUUCUUACGUUCACAGAUCUGAUGUCUCUUCGAGAUGUAUAACGUGUAUGAUAAACGUUAGCACAUUUGAUUUGAAGACCAACAUAUCAAAGGAUCCAUUUUCCAUUUAAGAGCUUUCACCGAACAGGUGGUUAAAUUCAAAGGAGAGCCAGUUCAUCAUUGCUUUACAUCACGAUGGAUAAUUUAUUUUUACACUUCUCCAAGAAGAGUUCCAGUGUUGGCUUUUGUAUUCAAGAUGCUUCAGUAAUCUUACAAAUACUGGCCACAAUCGAAGAACAACAAAUUGAUGAUGGUGAUGAAGGAGGAUCCGUCACAGUGGGAAGAAGAAAAUGGUGGAUACAUUCUCGUUUCAGAAUUUGAGCACAAAAACAAAACCGAAACUUUUGCUGGUUUUAAUGGAGCUACUCAGAAAAUCAAGGAAGCCUUAAAUUUGCUGCAAUAAUUUCAAUGUUCAGUCAAACCUCACCAACCCUUUUGGUGACCUUUGAAGCAGUAGCUACACAAAUUUAAGUAAUGGGGACCCCAUAAAUGGAAAAUUUGUUGUAUUUAAUGGAGUUAAGGAAGCUGAAAGUCUGAUUCAAGAAAUCCAUUGUUCACCAUACCUCUGAUCAUUCCAGUUACAUUUCAAAAAGUAUCUCCACAAACUUUAAAGCUCAGGGACCCCAUUAAUGGUUUGUAAACCUUUAACACUCGAUAUCAGCCUGACAGUUUCUCUCCUUCAGUGUGAUAUAAUUUGUCUGAUUCUCAAGUGAAUCCGUUUUUUAAUAUUGAAACCAUUCUGAGACACUUGAGUAAACAAUUAAUGACCUUGUUUGUUGAACUAACUAUACUUUUCCACAUCAAAAUAUGGGUAUGCUUAAUGACAUAAAAAGAAUGUUUAUUGAACAUAUCAUUAAAAUUAUGAAAAAUAAAACUUCCUACCUAUAUUUCAA